UACGUAGGGGGCUAGCGUUGUCCGGAAUCAUUGGGCGUAAAGAGCGUGUAGGCGGCUCGAUAAGUCCGCUGUGAAAAGUCCAGGGCUCAACCCUGGGAUGCCGGUGGAUACUGUCGGGCUCGAGUCCGGAAGAGGCGAGUGGAAUUCCUGGUGUAGCGGUGAAAUGCGCAGAUAUCAGGAGGAACACCAAUGGCGAAGGCAGCUCGCUGGGACGUGACUGACGCUGAGAACGCGAAAGCGUGGGGGAGCAAAACAGG
rnacentral:rRNA from 1 species